rnacentral:rRNA from 1 species
UACAGGGGGUGCGAGCGUUGUCCGGAAUCACUGGGCGUAAAGGGCGCGUAGGCGGUCUGCUAAGCGUGUGGUGAAAGCUCGGGGCUCAACCCCGCGUCGGCCAUGCGAACUGGUGGACUGGAGCUUGUCAGAGGCAGGCGGAAUUCCGGGUGUAGCGGUGGAAUGCGUAGAGAUCCGGAAGAACACCGGUGGCGAAGGCGGCCUGCUGGGACAAUGCUGACGCUGAGGCGCGACAGCGUGGGGAGCAAACAGG